UACGGAGGGGGGCAAGCGUUGUCCGGAUUUACUGGGCGUAAAGAGCGCGCAGGCGGUCGUUCAAGUCGCGUGUGAAAGCCCCCCGGCUCAACUGGGGAGGGUCACGCGAUACUGAUCGACUCGAAGGCAGAAGAGGGAAGCGGAAUUCCCGGUGUAGUGGUGAAAUGCGUAGAUAUCAGGAAGAACACCCGUGGCGAAGGCGGUUCUCUGGGACGGUACUGACGCUGAGACGCGAAAGCGUGGGGAGCGAACAGG
rnacentral:rRNA from 1 species